UGGUUUGAUGUGGAGGUCCUUGAUCCACU
rnacentral:piRNA from 1 species